UGGGGAAUAUUGCACAAUGGGCGAAAGCCUGAUGCAGCAACGCCGCGUGAGUGAUGAAGGUCUUCGGAUUGUAAAGCUCUGUCUUUUGGGACGAUAAUGACGGUACCAAAGGAGGAAGCCACGGCUAACUACGUGCCAGCAGCCGCGGUAAUACGUAGGUGGCGAGCGUUGUCCGGAUUUACUGGGCGUAAAGGGUGCGUAGGCGGAUGUUUAAGUGAGAUGUGAAAUACCCGGGCUUAACUUGGGUGCUGCAUUUCAAACUGGAUAUCUAGAGUGCAGGAGAGGAGAAUGGAAUUCCUAGUGUAGCGGUGAAAUGCGUAGAGAUCAGGAAGAACACCAGUGGCGAAGGCGAUUCUCUGGACUGUAACUGACGCUGAGGCACGAAAGCGUGGGUAGCAAACAGGAUUAGAUACCCUGGUAGUCCACGCCGUAAACGAUGAGUACUAGGUGUAGGAGGUNUCGACCCCUUCUGUGCCGCAGUAAACA
rnacentral:rRNA from 1 species